UCCAGGGAGUCUUCUCUUCUCAUGAGGUGGCCAAAGUAUUGGAGCCUCAGCUUCACGAUCUGUCCUUCCAGUGAGCACUCAGGGCUGAUUUCCUUCAGAAUGGAGAGGUUUGAUCUUCUUGCAGUCCAUGGGACUCUCAAGAGUCUCCUCCAGCACCAUAAUUCAAAAGCAUCAAUUCUUCGGCGAUCAGCCUUCUUGAUGGUCCAGCUCUCACUUCCAUACAUCACUACUGGGAAAACCAUGGCUUUAACUAUACGGACCUUUGUUGGCAAG
rnacentral:lncRNA from 1 species